ensembl:snoRNA
UAAAAUUUUUGUUUAAAGAAUCUAAUCCAUGCCAUCUGUCACCACAUGACAGAACAAUGUGGAGAAUCUUUGACAGCUCAGGUCAGCACAGUACCUGCAGCUGCCACUCGCAUUUCCUAUAGAC